CGGAACGGCUGAGUAACACGUGGGCAACCUGCCCUCCCUCUUGGGGAUAGCCUCGGGAAACCGAGGAUAAUACCCGAUACUUCAAUGUGGCCGCAUGACGACAUUGAGAAAGCUUUUGCGGAGAAGGAUGGGCCCGCGGCCUGUUAGCUUGUUGGUGGGGUAGAGGCCUACCAAGGCAAUGAUGGGUAGCUGGGUUGAGAGACCGACCAGCCAGAUUGGGACUGAGACACGGCCCAG
rnacentral:rRNA from 1 species